rnacentral:rRNA from 1 species
AGUGGCGGACGGGUGAGUAACGCGUGGGUAACCUGCCUCAUACAGGGGGAUAACAGUUAGAAAUGACUGCUAAUACCGCACAAGACCACAGCACCGCAUGGUGCAGGGGUAAAAACUCCGGUGGUAUGAGAUGGACCCGCGUCUGAUUAGGUAGUUGGUGGGGUAACGGCCUACCAAGCCGACGAUCAGUAGCCGACCUGAGAGGGUGACCGGCCACAUUGGGACUGAGACACGGCCCAA